rnacentral:misc_RNA from 1 species
GAGAGGAAAAAAAAAAUCCUAAGUACAGAUGAAGAGGAUAAACAAAGAAAGCAACAGCAGUACAGCUACAAACACACACAUCAAUCAAUAGAGAUGAGAAGGUGCACCAUCGACGAUACGACGAUGAUGGCUUCUCAUCUCUUUCCAGAGAGGCUGAUGGAGCUGACUUUCAUGGGGGUAGCCACAACCAGUGGAGCUUCUGGAGAAUCAGAGACAGCAAACUUGUCGUGCAUGAAUCGGCUCUCCACAAUGGAUUCAUCCUUCAGCACAAUCUUGUAGCAGUAACAGCUCUUGAGUCCUUGCUGAUUGCGGUAGCAGUCAUGUGCACUGUUCUUUACGCGAUGGAAGUCCCAUAUCACACUGAAUUUGCCCACUGUUGCCACAAGGUGACGCUCUUGUUUACCGCUUUCGGUGACCCAAGAAAAGUGGCCACCAUGGAAUGUAUUGUCUGUUCCAGCCAAAUGAGAAUCCAGAGGAGUCAACUUCAGCAACCUCGGAGCUGGAAUUCUGUUCCCCAUACGACCACUGAACCCAGUCUUCGUGUUUCCAUCUUUAUCAGUGAACAACGUGCAGAUGAGUAUCAAAUAACUAUCAGUCGUCCCCAAAAUCCACUUACCAUCAUAAGUAACAUCCACAUGAGUAAUCGGCGAACCAAGCCCUGGAAAGGCUGUCUUUGCCUGUCUCAUUGACGUCUUCGAAUACAGCCUUAUCUUCCCAUCAACCGACCCAACAACAAUUGAUCCAUCCCCUGUUGUAGCAAAGCACUGGAAGUUCGUCCCUCUAGAAAACUGAUGCCCCUGCGCCCAGUUCAGAACCGUUGAAUUAUCAGCAGCUCCACCAAUGUUCUGAACCAUUCCUCUACGGUCUCUCAUGUCCCAUUGACAAAGCCUGUUGUCAUCCAACCCCAAAAAUGUCGACUCUGAAGGAUCCAAUUGAGACCCUUUGGUGUCAUUUGCGAUGUCCCUCAUUGUAAUGUCUGUACCAUCCUUUUCAAAUUUCCAUUCUGUAACUAUUUUCCCUGUCUCGAUAUCAAGCUGCUCUAGCCCUGAUGCGUGGGGCUUUCCCUCCUUCAAUGGACUCAUGAGAAGCAUGUUUGUCUCAGCCUUCAUGAGAAGACCCUUCUUCGGUGUUGAUCGACUGGCGUUUGGAGAAUGUCCUGCACCAAACUUCAAUGAGACCCCCUUCCCAUGAAUUCCAUGGCUUAGAUUCCUGUAAACCUGAACCCCCGAGUCGUUCACCAAGAAGCUGUUAUCCAACGCCCCUAAUGUCAAGCUCUGCACUCCUCCAUUAGCAGCUUCCUCGAACUCCUCUAUCAAGUCUUGUUUCGUCCUCGCUGACGAGCUGGGGCUCUUCCCAAACUCAAUAUCGGCGUUUUCCCAAACCGAAUCGUCAGCCACCUCAGGCUUCAACCACCCAAUGAACUCCU